CGUUCCCAGCGUUUCUGUGGGCUAGACCUAUAUCACGUUACAGUGUUCAUUCCUGGGCUCUCGGCUGACACCGUUUCCUGAGGUUGCUCUUCUCUUGGGAAGGAGAGCUCGGGAAAGAGUAGGAGUUUCCUGAAAAUCCAGAGCCUUGGAAGGCAAAAGCAGAGCAAUGACCUUUUCUUUCUAGACAGAAGGCCAGUCCUUAAUGCCGUGUGAUGCUCCGUGUCUCCUGGUGCAGGGCAAAGACUGAGAAAGGAGUGGGAGAGGAAAUCCAUGAGGUUUGAUAAGAGACUAGUCUGUAAAUUCUGCUGGAGCAGCUUGCAAAGUCCAUGGCAGCAAACACAGGAGAAGUGCCUGACCACGUCGUGCGAGCAGCCGUCUCGCCUCGUGGCCAGUGAGGUCAAGGGCAGUGUUGACUAGUGACCUGGAUGUCCAAAUCAGUGGUGUUGCUUAAGCCACCUUCACGCCUCCAGGCCAUUGCAGACAUCAUAUUCAUCCUGGAGGCCCCCGGCAAGCACGUAUGGAACAACGCAUCAAGCAACACACCACCACGCUGGAACAGCCCCCGAAGCAACCCCGGAUCGGCACAGCCCACAGCUACCCCAAGAUGUUUUUCCGGCAGGGAUAGCCAGAUCAGUGCCAGAUCAGGGGGCUGACUGGAGUCUGCCACCGGCGGCCCGUCGGUGCUCCUUCUCCCUCUCUCCCCCCCAGAUUUCAUUUCCUCACCCAUGGGAUUUGGGGGCUAAGUGCUGGUUAUACGUGUACAGGGAGGGGCUGAUUUGUGGCUGCCCAGCCUUGCGGCCCUGCUGAGGCUCUGUUUUUGCCCCUGGCAGCCUGCUCUGGUUAGAGAAGAUGGGGCUUUGCUGCAGGCUCUGAUGCCUGCGGCCUUGGACAAAUCUGAGAGCCUUGGACUGAAGCCUGGGAGCAGAGCUGGAGCCAGGGUGGGUGCAGAGCUGCUGGACCCUGUCCCUUUCCCUCCCUGCCUCUCUCUGUCCUGCUUUUCCCUGAUUCACCAUGGUUAAUGGGACAGACAGAGGGCUUCAGUUUUGUAUUCGAGGGAAACUAGAGUUUGCUUUUAGAGGAUUUUCAUCAGCUCAUCCCUUCCCUUCUCCCACUCGGUGCCCCAGCAGCCCACCAGGUACCACCUCCCUGGAGUGAGGUGAGGUCUCUCGGACCAAGCGCUGGGAGGAAGCACCCUCAGAAAUGUUUAUUAUUGCUGUUAAAUGAUAAGCUCCUUUUCUUUUUUUCCCCUUCCUUGCCUUCACUUUUGCCAUGGGGCUAGUGGCCUCUGCUGUGGUCUCCCCUGCUUUCUUUUUCCUGUUUUGAUCUCUAGCAAGACUUGCUGCCCUUGAAGGACAGGGUUAGCCCAGCAGGUUUUCACUGCUGAGCCACUGACUUGCGAUUCAGAGUGUGUGUCUUCCUCCAGGCCCUGCUGCAGACUCCCACCAUCGCCCCGGGUAGGUCGCCCAGGCUCGGGUACAUGUGGGGUUUUGGAGACCAAGCUGCUGUUCAGGUGUCUGCUUUCCCAAGGAGAUACAUGGGGAGAUGUAUCUCCCUUUGGGGAUCCGUGGGUAUGUGCGUACGUGGGUUUGGUGCAGAAGUGGACGUGCAGGGUUCAGCAGUCAGUGCUCAGACCAGAUGUCCACAGUGUGUUUUUUGCCCAGGGGCAGGGGGUUACUUUUAGAGAGGCCUGCUCUGGUCCCAUGGACUGAGUGCCCACUAGAGCACAUUACGUGGGCUUCUGGAUUGCGUCUCCUGAUCUGGCAUCAUGUGAAAGGGAUCCAGUUUUCACACUACGAGGCCGCAGUACAGCAUGAAACAGUGUGGAAGGUGGACGUGGUUGAGAGAUUCACCUCGAAAGCACCUUGCUCAUGGGGACUAAGUCAGCAAUGUGGACACUGAACUUUGCUCCCUUUGCUGCUCUUCACCAGUAAAGCAGGGAGUGUUUAACGUUCGUUCUCUGUCUUGCUGAUUCUGAUCGCAGGUCACUCAGCCCUGGGGUGAUCCUCCUGACUUCAGGGCACAGCACAGUCUCUGGGCUAAGUCCAUUAUACAAGCACAAAAUCAGCAAUGUAUUUCAUAUCUGGAGAAAGGUCCUUUCAGGAGAAGCUGCUCGCUUUGGCUGCCAGCUCCUUCUUGUUCCUGUUGAUUGAUUCUGUGAGACCAUUUUCCUGGUGGUCACGGCUGCUUUCAGAAACCACUUAUGGCACGCUGAUGACAAGGCCAGCUUUAUGUUUCCCUGGAGAACGUCCCCGCAGUGUGCUCCAAAGCUCUCCACUUUCACAGCACGCCCGGCUGCAUCCGAAGCAGGAGCCUCGGUGCCUGCUUGACACGUUGCUCACAUGGCUUUUGGUACAACAGAGACCUCUGGAAAGGCGAUUAUCACAGUGUUGAUAAAAAUGACGUGGUGGAGUCUAUUGGUGAUGCUGAGCAGGGUAAGCAAAGGUGUCUGGGCACAGCGACUGUUGUCCCUACCACUUCGUCCACGAACAGCUAGAAAUGUCCAGUGUUACAUGAAGCAGAAUAAGAAACCUUUCAUAUACUUUUAAGUAUCCUUCAGCCUUUUUUGUUUUGGUAUUGGCUCAGUCUUUCCAAAAUCUGUCCUCUUUCCCCUAUGUUCUCUAGCCAAUCAUAGAAAAAAAAUCAUUGAGACAGUGAUUUUUCCCAGCAAACCUCUUCCACUUCCCCAUUCCCUUUGGCUGUGAGCCUACUGAAUUGGACUUAGCCUGGGCCCAGGCCCAUGACUCUGUAGUCAGUCUCAGUAUCGGAUAUGUAGUUUUCAGGCAGAUGAAAUAUUUCCAUGAAAGGUUGAUGGAUAAAUUGCAGAGGUUUUACCUUAUUCUGCUCCCUUGGGGAGUUUCUGGGACUGUAAGAUAAUUUGUAUCACCUGACUUCCAGAUCUGCAAUUUAGACUUAACUGAUUUGUAUAUCCCUGCAGUGUUUCUUGAUUGGGGCAGUCCCCUGUGUUUGGUGGGCUAUUGAAGAAAUACAGCUCUCCGCCUCCGACGUCUUCCUGGAGAGCAGCCGAACCAGGAUUCAGCUGCCAAGGCUGUUGCUGAGAGGGAACUGCCCCUGUGAGGGUUUCCAGUAGAAACGGGCUCAGAAAGACAACUCUGUUUUGGAAAAAGUUGGGCUUUGAUGAAAUUAGGCUGAAUUCACUUGGAAUCGGAGCAAAACACAAGCAGGUGGAAAUUCCGCGAAAGGGAAUAGUGUACCAGCUUGCACUGCCAAGCUGCCUUGAAGGAGCUGAUCUCCGGAGCUCCAAGCCGCUCUGCGCUGUGUCAUGGGCUCUCCUCCUGCUCCGGUGUUUCCUCCCUGAGACAGUCUAACAUCUCGGACGCCCCAAACUGAAGUGUGGGAGCACUGAAAUCCCCUUGUGCGAAGCAGCCUGUUUGGCAGCUGGCUGCCCCAGGGCCCGGGAAACCGGGGUGGUGGUGGAACCAGAUGGGUGACCGGCCAGGAGGCUCAGCAGGUUUCUGAUGUUGGGAGCCCUACACGAGUUUCAUGGGAACCUGGGCAAAAUUGAGUCACCUUGUUGAGAUUUUGCUGAAUUUGUGAAUUCCUCUGAAAUGCUGUUUUGCCUGAAACCCUUCUGAGCAGGUGCAGUAUCUUCAGCUAUCUUUUGAAAACGGAGGCAACACGUUCCUCUGUGCUUUGCUGCAUGGGUCUGCUGAGAGUCAAAGCAGCACUUGUCUUCGCCGAGCCCUCUGCCAGCAUUCGCGCUCUUGAAGUGGCGUUGAGGAGGGAGGAUACAGGAACUUGGCAGGGACUAGUGAGGGAUGCUGGCAGGUUAUUCUGAUCCUUAGAAAAUCACUGUGUUCUCCUCAUUACGCUAUACCUCAUCCAUCCACUCUGUCUUGUCCUAUAGACUGUAAAUUCUCCAUAUUAAAUUAAUUUCCCAAGUUCUCUA